AGUGAACGCUGGCGGUAGGCCUAACACAUGCAAGUCGAACGGCAGCACAGUGAGAGCUUGCUCUUACGGGUGGCGAGUGGCGGACGGGUGAGGAAUACAUCGGAAUCUACUUUUUCGUGGGGGAUAACGUAGGGAAACUUACGCUAAUACCGCAUACGACCUACGAGUGAAAGCAGGGGAUCUUCGGACCUUGCGCGAUUGAAUGAGCCGAUGUCGGAUUAGCUAGUUGGCGGGGUAAAGGCCCACCAAGGCGACGAUCCGUAGCUGGUCUGAGAGGAUGAUCAGCCACACUGGAACUGAGACACGGUCCAGACUCCUACGGGAGGCAGCAGUGGGGAAUAUUGGACAAUGGGCGCAAGCCUGAUCCAGCCAUACCGCGUGGGUGAAGAAGGCCUUCGGGUUGUAAAGCCCUUUUGUUGGGAAAGAAAAGCAGCAGGUUAAUACCCCGCUGUUCUGACGGUACCCAAAGAAUAAGCACCGGCUAACUUCGUG
rnacentral:rRNA from 1 species